GAUGAAGAACGUAGCGAAAUGCGAAAAGUAAUGUGAAUUGCAGAAUUCAGUGAAUCAUCGAAUCUUUGAACGCACCUUGCGCCCUUUGGCCAUUCCGAAGGGCAUGCCUGUUUGAGUAUCAUGAACACCUCAACUCUUUAUGGUUUUCCAUGAUGAGCUUGGACUCUGGGGGUUUUGCUGGCUCACAGUCGGCUCCUCUAAAAUGAAUCAGCUUACCAGUGUUUGGUGGGUAUCAUGGGUGUGAUAACUAUCUACGCUUGUGGUUUUUCCACCAGGUAACCUUCAGCAGUGGAGGUUCGCUGGAGCUCAUAGAUGUCUCUCCUCAGUGAGGACAGCCCUUUGAAUGUUUGAUCUCAAAUCAGGUAGGACUACCCGCUGAACUUAAGCAUAUCAAUAAGCGGAGGA
rnacentral:misc_RNA from 1 species